UCAGACGAUGCGUCAUGCAUAUCAAUAAGCGGAGGAAAAGAAACUAACAAGGAUUCCCCUAGUAACGGCGAGUGAAGCGGGAAGAGCUCAAAUUUGAAAUCUUAAAGGGUUUCCCUUUACGAAUUGUAGUUUAAAGAAGUGUUCUCUGUUGAGGUUUUGGUAAAAGUUCUUUGGAAUAGGACAUCAUAGAGGGUGAGAAUCCCGUAUUUGACCUUUACUUUCAACUUUGUGAUACACUUUCAAAGAGUCGGAUUGUUUGGGAAUGCAGUCCAAAAUGGGUGGUAAAUUUCAUCUAAAGCUAAAUAUUGGCGAGAGACCGAUAGCGAACAAGUACCGUGAGGGAAAGAUGAAAAGAACUUUGAAAAGAGAGUUAAACAGUACGUGAAAUUGUCAAAAGGGAAGCGUUUGACACCAGUGUUGUUUUUCUGAAAAUCAAUUAAAGAACUGUUUAUGCUAAGUUGUUUAGACUUUAUCAGCUAUCUGUUUAGUUUUGAGCUUUUCUUUAAUGCACUUUUCAGUUAACAAGUCAACAUCAAUUUCUUUUGCUGUAAAAAAGCUUGAGGAAGGUGGCUUGAGAUUCGUCUUAAGUGUUUAUAGCCUCUUGCCUAUGCAGUCGGAGAGAUUGAGGUCUGCAGCGUAGAUCCUUCGGGGCUAAAUGCAUUUGUGCUAAGUUAUAGCAUUUUAUAGACAACUUGUUGACUAUGAUUUGUCUUGUAGCUUACUCGCUUAUGUUAUUUUACCUACGCUUAGGAUGUUGACACACGCGCGUGCUCG
rnacentral:rRNA from 1 species